UACAGAGGGUGCGAGCGUUAAUCGGAAUUACUGGGCGUAAAGCGCACGUAGGUGGCGACGUAAGUCGGGUGUGAAAGCCCCGGGCUCAACCUGGGAAUUGCAUUCGAGACUGCAUUGCUGGAGUACGGAAGAGGAAGGCGGAAUUCCCGGUGUAGCGGUGAAAUGCGCAGAUAUCAGGAAGAACACCAACGGCGAAGGCAGCUCGCUGGGACGGUACUGACGCUGAGACGCGAAAGCGUGGGGAGCGAACAGG
rnacentral:rRNA from 1 species